GGAGCUGUGGCUUGGUAGAAUAGCCUCUGCUUUGCAUGCAGAAGGUCCCAGAUUCAAUCCCCAGGAUCUCCA
rnacentral:tRNA from 1 species